GGUCUCAAGCGUUGUUCGGAUUCAUUGGGCGUAAAGGGUGCGUAGGCGGCGCGGUAAGUCGGGUGUGAAAUCUCGGAGCUUAACUCCGAAACUGCAUUCGAUACUGCCGUGCUUGAGGACUGGAGAGGAGACUGGAAUUUACGGUGUAGCGGUGAAAUGCGUAGAUAUCAGGAGGAACACCGAUGGCGAAGGCGGAUCUCUGGGCCAUUACUGACGCUGAGGAGCGAAAGCGUGGGGAGCGAACAGG
rnacentral:rRNA from 1 species